rnacentral:rRNA from 1 species
AUGGGGACAAAAACAAUGCAUAUUUUCAUGCUAUGGCUAACCAUAGACACAGAAAAAAAACAUUUGUCUGAACUGAUUGGCGAUAAUGGUCCUGUGUAUACCACCCAGGAUAUGUUGGAGGUUGCUACCUCCUAUUACAAAAACCUGUUCUGCUUUGAGAACAAACACAAUAUCUGUCUUGGUCCUUCCUUUUGGGAGGAGGAUGAAUUAGUUACACAGGAAGAAAAUGAUCAAUUACAAAAAAGUUUUUCUGAGGAGGAAAUUAAAGAGGCAAUUUUUGGCUCGUACGCCCAUGGGGCUCCUGGCCCUGAUGGGCUAUCCUUCUUAUUCUACCAGUCGUUUUGGGAUGUUAUCAAAAAAGAUUUUAUGGCCCUGGUCAGAGAUUUUGAGGAAGGGAAAUUAGAUUUAUAG